rnacentral:rRNA from 1 species
AACGUAGGAGGCGAGCGUUAUCCGGAUUUACUGGGCGUAAAGCGCACGCAGGCGGCCGCGUGAGUCGGCUGUGAAAGCUCCUGGCUUAACUAGGAGAGGCCAGUCGAUACUGCGGGGCUUGAGGUUGGGAGAGGGGUGCGGAAUUCCCGGUGUAGUGGUGGAAUGCGUAGAUAUCGGGAGGAACACCAGUGGCGAAGGCGGCACCCUGGCCCACACCUGACGCUGAGGUGCGAAAGCGUGGGUAGCAAACAGG